rnacentral:ncRNA from 1 species
UCAAAAGCUGCGAAAGAGUUAAGUAGAUUAAAGGAAAGUUUCUAAGAGAGAAGAUGUCCUCGGCUGCAAGCAUCUUCAACAGAACUUUGAUUGAAAUUUCGCUCUGGAGCUGUAGGGCUAAACUUUAGUAAGUUCUACCGGCAGUUAAGCCGUUAAUUAAACUGAGUGGAUUAUGCUACUGGCUGUAGUAUAAUCUAAUUAGGUGGUACCGCGAAAUAAGACCUAUCUUGUUGCGUCCUAAUC